ACCGCGUGAGGGAAGAAGUUCUUUGGAGUGUAAACCUCUGUCAGUGGGGACGAAUUUUGACGGUACCCACAAAGGAAGCAUCGGCUAACUACGUGCCAGCAGCCGCGGUAAGACGUAGGAUGCAAGCGUUGUCCGGAAUUAUUGGGCGUAAAGAGUUCGUAGGCGGCAUGUCAAGUCUGGUGUUAAAGCCCGGGGCUCAACCCCGGUUUCGCACUGGAUACUGGCAAGCUAGAGUGCAGAAGAGGCAAGGGGAAUUCCCAGUGUAGCGGUGAAAUGCGUAGAUAUUGGGAGGAACACCGGUGGCGUAAGCGCCUUGCUGGGCUGUUACUGACGCUGAGGAACGAAAGCCGGGGGAGCAAAUGGGAUUAGAUACCCCAGUAGUCCCGGCCGUAAACGAUGGAUACUAGGUGUUGCGGGUAUCGACCCCUGCAGUGCCGCAGCUAACGCGAUAAGUAUCCCGCCUGGGGAGUACGCACGCAAGUGUGAAACUCAAAGGAAUU
rnacentral:rRNA from 1 species